UACGGGGGGAGCAAGCGUUGUUCGGAUUUACUGGGCGUAAAGCGCACGUAGGCGGAUUUGCAAGUCGGGGGUGAAAUCCCGAGGCUCAACCUCGGAACUGCCUUCGAUACUGCAAAUCUCGAGUCCGGAAGAGGUGAGUGGAAUUCCUAGUGUAGAGGUGAAAUUCGUAGAUAUUAGGAAGAACACCAGUGGCGAAGGCGGCUCACUGGUCCGGUACUGACGCUGAGGCGCGAAAGCGUGGGGAGCAAACAGG
rnacentral:rRNA from 1 species